ACCAGCAGAGAUGCACCAAUCAAAGUAUCUGAAGGAGACUUUUACAGCCUCAAUGUCACUGAUGGAGGAGUUUAUUACUGUGUGGCCACCAAUCAGCUUGGUGAUCAAACAUCAUUAGAGAUCAAUCUGACUAUAGAAGGUAAAUAAAAAAGGUACUUUAGCAAUCAAUAUUGUUACAUUCCCAUAGUGUCUUUAUUUAGUCACUUGUUUUUUUUCAUCUUGUCUUGAGGUGGAGUUGAUUAUCUACUAUUGGGUCCAGGUCUUGGAGGAAUCAUUUGGAUCAUCGUGCUCAUCGGCCUGGUUGCCUUUGUUUGGUCAGUAGCAUCAUUAACGGGCAUCAAAACGGGUGAAAAAGGUGUUUGAAGUCUCCACAUCCGGCUGCACAUCAGAGUCAGGUGAGAACACACCAAACAACUCGGUGUGGUUUUGUAAUUAUUUGGUAGCAAACGGCUUUCACAAUCACUUCCUGUUUGCUUCAUUUAUUUAUUUAUUUAUGUAGAAUCAGACUGUUGUUUAUCCAACAGUGACAACAGAAGAAGGUCCACUAUGGAGAGAUGAACUUCUCGAGGCUCAGAUCUGGACCGUCCUCGGUCUCGGAGCAGGACGGUGGACAGCAGGAGGACACUUUGUAUGCGCAGGUCAAAGUGUCCAAGGCAGCAGACAACGUCACACGGACUGCUGACGUCCCAGAGGAUCUCUACGCUCAAGUGAAGAGAAAAUGAGCCGUUUCUUGUGGUCACAUUUGGGUUUUAUUGUUAAGAUGCUUUUUACAUAAAUAACAAGCUUUAUCUGUCAGUUUAUGGAGAAAAAGAAUAGUGAGAAAAUGUAAUCUUCACUGCUCACAGUUAAUUAAAGAGGAACUUCAAACCUCCACA